rnacentral:lncRNA from 1 species
CGCACCCUACCUACGUCACUGUGGCGUGGUGCGUCGCGUUAGCCGUGUAGCGUCACUGUGGCGUGGUGCGUCGCGUUAGCCGUGUAGCGUCACUGUGGCGUGGUGCGUCGCGUUAGCCGCGUUAGCCGUGUAGCGGGGCUGGUGUAGCGGUGUCGGAGCACUCGCGAAAUAUCGACGCAGAUCGACAUUCAUGAGAGGAUUGUGUUAAUGCUCUGUGUUAUGUCUGUGAAGAGCCCAUCAGACCUGCUCAAUGAAAACACCUACAUCCCACCUUCACUGACCCUUGACCUCUGCUUAUCACAUGAAAGAAAUUUGGGCCUGACAGAUACUCGUGGGUCAAAUUCUUUCUCUCUAAAGAGUCAACAUAAUUACGGCAGCACAAGCUCCAUUCAGCCCCUCAAAGGCAUUAUGGGAGGACUAGAUGAUGAUGAUAUAUCCCUCCGGCACCAGGAAGAUGAAUGGAGCAGAAAUCAGGAGAAUGAGCACAGUCUUCCAGGCUCCGAGAGCAACGCCAAGUGGAUGAAGGAAGAUCAGAAUCAAAUAUGCAAGUUAGCAGAGCAGCAGCAGCAGCAAGACCAGAAUCUUAACCUGGUUGAAAACAAGAAUGAAACCACUGACAGAAACCCAAACCAGAACUCACAGCAGCGCCAUGAAGAGAAGAACAAGACCCUGAAAGCGCUCUGCUCUGACCACAGUUGGGCAGCUGAUGAACCUCUUCUGAUUUACACUCUGAUGGAGAAGAAUCAAGAAAACCAAGAGGAGACAAGAGAAGAGGAAGAGGAAAAUGUAAAUCCCACUAGAGGCGAGAACACCAGUUCAUCUGAGAUUCAGAAGAUAGGAGGUGAAGGUGGUAGCAGAAAUGCUUGUUUGCUGUUCAGUAAGCACGGCAUUCCCAGUGAUGAGGACUCCAGCUGCAUGUCGCUGUCACAGGGAAGCACUGCAAGCAGCACCCCAGAUGGAGAGCCAGGUGAGUCAUGCAACAUGACAGAUGAUCACAGAAAAAAAAUGGCAAGAGUGGUCUGUUAAAG